AUUGAACGCUGGCGGCAGGCCUAACACAUGCAAGUCGAGCGGAUGAAGGGAGCUUGCUCCUGGAUUCAGCGGCGGACGGGUGAGUAAUGCCUAGGAAUCUGCCUGGUAGUGGGGGAUAACGUCCGGAAACGGGCGCUAAUACCGCAUACGCCCUGAGGGAGAAAGUGGGGGAUCUUCGGACCUCACGCUAUCAGAUGAGCCUAGGUCGGAUUAGCUAGUUGGUGGGGUAAAGGCCUACCAAGGCGACGAUCCGUAACUGGUCUGAGAGGAUGAUCAGUCACACUGGAACUGAGACACGGUCCAGACUCCUACGGGAGGCAGCAGUGGGGAAUAUUGGACAAUGGGCGAAAGCCUGAUCCAGCCAUGCCGCGUGUGUGAAGAAGGUCUUCGGAUUGUAAAGCACUUUAAGUUGGGAGGAAGGGCAGUAAGUUAAUACCUUGCUGUUUUGACGUACCAACAGAAUAAGCACCGGCUAACUUCGUG
rnacentral:rRNA from 1 species